ensembl:lncRNA
AGAGAGUGCAAAGCUGUUCAGAUGAGUUACACCAGACAACUACACCUGGUUGUUGUGCUGAUGACAGCAGGAGCUCUGGCACCCAUUUUCUAGCUCAUAUGUGCAUCUUAUUUGCACCUAAAAAACCCAUGCCUGGAGCUGAAUGUCAGUGUCGUGCUUAGUUUACAACAGAGGAUUCUGAGGGGGUGGUUCAGAACACCCAUUAAGUGGGCAAGGAAUCUCUGCUGCUGAAAUCAGAUGCUUCCAGCAAGAUGAUAUUUCUAUGGGGGAGUUAAUGAGAAGAGGAGGAAGAUUGAGAAGAGAAGAGGAGUGGAGCUUUUGUACAGGAUCCUGGAUUAUUAUAAAACAGCUGGUCAUGACAAAUAUUUGUGAGCAGUGGAUUGUAAGUCAGAGAUACAGAAAUAUUGCAGCUAAAAGGCAGUAUAGACACAGUGUAUGUGGACAGAAGCUUCUGCUCUGUGGGAAGACACCAGGCCAUCUGUGUGUGAAGCAUAAAGAUUAUGGACAAAAGGCCAUUAAGAAUGGGUGCGGGCCCAAGUUAUGUCUACAAAAAUGGUGCAGAUACUUGAACAAUUGCUCUUCCUUAAUCCACAUUAAUGCAUCCAUCACCCUGGAGUAGACUUGUACUGGUGAGACUGGGCAGAAUGAGUAAGUGGCCAUCUUCACUUAUCCAUGCAGACAAAUCCUCCUCCGGCAUCCUUUCAUUUUCACAAGUGCCAAAUUUUCUGCAAGCCCUGCAAACCAAGCCACACUCAUGAAAGGUGGGCUGAAUGCACCCUAACCACAAGCAUCACCCUGUAACCAAAGAAACAUGUGUCAUUGUUUUCUCUCUUUCUCUGCUCUGCAGUUUUUUGCAAUAAUGGUGUUUUGAGUCAAUCUUUGGACCAUCUCUCCUCUAUUCCCAGAAUUAGAUUCAUGAGCAUCAGACUAGUUGAUGGGAAGGAAAUAAUUGGUGAAGAAAGCAUGGUUAAUCUCACUGUUCUUUGGAUCUUUCUGUUCUUUCUUCCACUUUUCCUUACAUCACUCAGAUGGGAAAAAUAUUAGUGAUCUGGAGGCGGCUGCAGCCACAGGAGUGCCUAUCUUCUAUUUCAUCCCUACAGACUCCCCUAAUGAACCUUGGAUUUACCAGGGCUCUUUGCUGCCUUUACUCCAUUAAAAAGCUGUCAUCUGCCAACAGAAUGAGAGAGAACCUGCACUUCAGAGUUCUAAAGCAAACUAUCAGCUGGUUCUGAUGGGCUAUAAGCACACAGAAGCAAAGUACUAGGAAGGCUGUGAGAGGUGGUGAGACACGAAACCAGCAGUCUGCCUUUGCUAGAGAGGAAGGUUGACAACCAUAGAGCUAGACAAGUCUUAUCCCAGUAAUCACAUACAGCUGUGUUUGCUCAACAUAGUGCACUAAAAACAUGCAAAAGCAAGCCCUGGAGCCUGCCACAGAGAUAUCGAUGAGCAGGCACUUGAAAAUGCUGGGUGCUUGUUAAUGUUUAACGAGCGAGUCCUCAUCUGACUUCAUGGCAUUGAGCUUUAUUUAUCUAAUCCCUAAAUUCACCAAGGGAAAAGAACGCUCCCUAUUAGCCUACGAUAAAUAAGUAAAGGGGAAGACCUGGCAGAGUCUU